rnacentral:rRNA from 1 species
GAGUUUGAUUAUGGCUCAGGAUGAACGCUGGCGGCGUGCUUAACACAUGCAAGUCGAACGGGCGAAUUAUAUCGGAGGUCUUCGGGCCGAAGAGAUAAUAAGCUAGUGGCGGACGGGUGCGUAACGUGUGGGUAAUCUGCCUUUGUCAUAGGAAUAACUGCUUGAAAAAGUAGCUAAUACCAAAUAACAUAUCGUAUAGGCAUCUAUAAGAUAUCAAAGAGAAAUCGGACAAAGAUGAGCCCGCAUCUGAUUAGCUAGUUGGUAGGGUAAAAGCCUACCAAGGCGACGAUCAGUAGCCGGCCUGAGAGGGUGAACGGCCACAUUGGAACUGAGACACGGUCCAAACUCCUACGGGAGGCAGCAGUGGGGAAUAUUGCACAAUGGGGGGAACCCUGAUGCAGCAACGCCGCGUGAGUGAAGAAGGCUUUCGAGUCGUAAAACUCUGUUGUAAGGGAAGAUAANG